GACGAACGCUGGCGGCGUGCUUAACACAUGCAAGUCGAACGGAAAGGCCCUGCUUGCAGGGUACUCGAGUGGCGAACGGGUGAGUAACACGUGGGUGAUCUGCCCUGCACUUCGGGAUAAGCCUGGGAAACUGGGUCUAAUACCGGAUAGGAGCCAUUUUUAGUGUGAUGGUUGGAAAGUUUUUUCGGUGUAGGAUGAGCUCGCGGCCUAUCAGCUUGUUGGUGGGGUAAUGGCCUACCAAGGCGGCGACGGGUAGCCGGCCUGAGAGGGGGGACGGCCACAUUGGGACUGAGAUACGGCCCAGACUCCUACGGGAGGCAGCAGUGGUGAAUAUUGCACAAUGGGCGCAAGCCUGAUGCAGCGACGCCGCGUGGGGGAUGACGGCCUUCGGGUUGUAAACUCCUUUCGCUAGGGACGAAGCUUUGUGUGACGGUACCUAGAUAAGAAGCACCGGCUAACUACGUG
rnacentral:rRNA from 1 species